CCGUCUCGAGGACUCACUCACUUCUCUCUUUGACGCCCUCCGCGACAUCCCCCAGGAGAAGCGCGCCUACCUCCUCCGUGCUUCCCUCCACAAGUGCGUCACCUCCAGCUCGAGCCCUCAGAUCGCCUCCGACAACCUCAAGAUCGUCUCGGACCUCACUGAGUCCCUCCUCU
rnacentral:ribozyme from 1 species